CGUGUGAGUUGUUUAUUACAAGAGCAGGGCAGGCCAACUCUAACCACACUUAUUUAGAGUAGUAACAACAGAGAGUUUUGUCCUUUUUUGACAGUAAAUUUCAGGAGUUUGAAUUUGGAGAAUGAUAGCCUAGAGCUAAACAUUCCACUCUCACCCUGAUCUUCUGGAAGCUCUGAGUCCAGGCCCAACGAGGGUAAAGGGUAACCAAGCUGAUGGACUUCGGAGUUUUUUGAUGGAAUAUAAAGCAGGAGUCUUGGUGAUCUUUUACUGUUGAGUGACAUCUUUCUCCAAAGAGUGACAUUAAAAUUCCAGAUGGUCAUAAGAAAUCAAACAUCCUCCAUUCCCUGCAAAUUCUCAGGAAGAGAUGAGAAAAUGGAAGCACAAAGAGGCUAAACACUUUGCCUGAAGUGACCUACUCAGUAAGUUGAAGAGCUGGAAUUCAAAGCCGAGCAGCCUGGUUCCAGAAUGUGUG